AUCCAACAUCACUGCUCGCCUAUUCCUACCUAAAAUCACAGAUCGGAACAAAAAACUUGCUCUACUUGUUUAUUUCCACGGAGGAGCCUUUGUUAUCAACACGCCAUUCAUUACUCCGCUCCAUAAAUUUGUAACCAACCUUGUCUCUGAAGCCAAUGUUGUUGCUGUUUCUGUUGACUAUAGGAAAGCUCCGGAGCACCCUAUCCCAGCUGCAUACGAAGACUCAAUGGCUGCACUCAAAUGGGUCGCUUCCCAUUCUAAUGGAGAUGGACCUGAGCCUUGGUUAAAUAACCAUGCUCAUUUUCAACGUGUUUUUUUGGGUGGUGACAGUUCUGGGGCUAAUAUUGCUCAUAAUUUGGCUAUGGCUGCUGGGAGUCCUGAGACGGGGCUUAGUAUUGGGCUUCUUGGGAUUGGUUUGGUACACCCUUAUUUUUGGGGGUCGGUGCCUGUUGGAUCGGAGGCGGAUUAUCCAGAUGACAAGUCUAUAAUUAAUCGAGACUACGUGGAUCGAGUUUGGCCCUUUAUUUGUCCAUCUAACCCGGAUAACGACGAUCCACGGGUUAAUCCGGUGGCGGAAGGUGCACCGCGCCUAGUGGGCCUGGGGUGUAAGAGGGUGCUGGUUUGCGUGGCCGAGCAUGAUGUGAUGAAAGAUAGAGGCUGGCUUUAUUACGAGGCAUUGGGCAGAAGUGGAUGGAAGGGUGUGGUUGAGAUAUUUGAGACACGAGGAGAGCACCAUGGAUUCCAUUAUCGUGACCUGGAAAAUGAGAAAUCUAAACAGUUGAUACAGAGACUGGCUGCUUUCUACAAGACUGAUUGAUGCGCCUCAGUUCCGAUAGAGGGAGGACUUCCUGCUCUUGCUCUUGUUAUGAUCUUAUUAAUUUGCGAUAUCGUGUCCUCCUUGAUUUGUAUUCAGCAAAAGUCAUGUUGUUGCAGUUUCUGUUGAUUAUUAAUUAGUUUGCUCUAAGCGUGUUUCACGCUGUAAUAAAUUCAUGUUAUUCGGUAAUCAAGUACUAUUAAUAUAUAAUAAAGUGAAGUUCGAGGAAAAAAAAUGUUUAUAUAUAUAUAAAAACAAUGAAGUACUAUAAAUUUUUCUAUUUCCAUAAACUUUCCCAGCUGUUUUAGAUGUAUUUAGGUAAUAUAUCAUGCCUUUCGGGUUAACUCCAUGACUUAAUGACAGAGGAUUCAAAGUUUUUGUCAAACUUCUUUCAAAUUAAACCUAUAUGAUUUUAUGAGUUAACCUAAUAAGUUGAUGAGAUGAUAUGUGAUUUGAUUGAUUCAACGUUGAUUUGUAAUUAAACUUGACUAAUAUUUAUUUUAACAUUGAGUAAUUCUUUUCAAAACACAUGUACAAUACAUAAAAAUAAAAUUCAAAACAAAUUCUAAAAUAUAAAAGUGCAUGCAUCAACAAACAAAAGGAUAUAUAUAUAAAAGAAGCGGUCUUGUGUUGAGUCACACCAUAUUCCUUUACAUUCAAAAACAUGUUGAAUAAGCCUUUAUUAUUAUUUUUAAAAAAAAUACACCUCGACCCUUGAUGAAGCGUGUGUCAAACAACUAUUAAAUAUUUUAAUUUUUUUUUACCAACUUGUUUUUUUAUUAAUGUGAGUGUUUGAGUCAGUUUGCACAUACCUCGACUAAUCCUACAAGUCCUGAAAUUAAAUAAAAUUUUAAUUUUUUUUAUUAAUUUUAUAAUCUGAAUUCUAAGUUUGAUGAAUUAAACCACAAGACUCAUAACCAUGUAAUAUACCUUUAUCUCAAUAUAUAUAUAUAAGACUACAAGUCCUGAAAUUAAAUAAAAUUUUAAUUUUUUUUAUUAAUUUUAUAAUCUAAAUUCUAAGUUUGAUGAAUUAAACCACAAGACUCAUAACCAUGUAAUAUACCUUUAUCUCAAUAUAUAUAUAAGAAGCAGUCUUGAAAUGUAUUGUGUUGAGUCAGACCAUGUUCCUUUACAUUCAAAAACAUGUUGAAUAAGCCAUGUUUUUUUUUUUUUUUUUUUUUUAAAAAAAAUAUAACUUGAUCCUUGAUGAAACGUGUGUCAAAUAACUAUUAAAUAUUUUAAUUUUUGUUAACCAACUUGUUUUUUUUAUUAUUAAUAAUAAUAUGGGUGUUUAGGUCAGCUUGUAUGUACCUCAACUAAUCUUACAAGUCUUGAAGUUAAAUAAAAUUUUAAUUUUUUUUUUUUAAUUUUAUGAUCUGAAAUAUAAAUUUGAUGAGUUAAACCACAGGACUCAUAACCAUUUAAUAUACAUUUAUCUCAAUCAAUAUAUAUAUAUAUAUAUAUAUAUAUAUAUAUAUAUAUACACUUUGACCCAUGAUGGAAGGUGUAUCAAAUAACUAUUAAAUAUUUUAAUUUUUGUUGAGCAGCUUGUUUUUAAUUUUAUUAGUUAUCUUGCACGUACCUCGACUAAUCCUACAAGUCCUAAAGUUAACGAUUAUGUAAACUUUUAGUGACUCUAAAAUUUAUAAAACUUGAAUUAAUAAUUUUUAAAAUAUAAAUUUAAAAUCUAAUCAGUUAAGAGUUAAGAGAGUAACUUGCUUCAUUACUAAUAUUUGAAAUGCCUUUUCCUACCUAUCAAAAGGAAAUUCUUAUUGCAUUAAUUAAGUCACAUAUAGGGAAGCCAGCAGAAUUAACUCUUAAAUAUUAAAAAACUCUAAAAGGCGUGGGGAAAGCACUGUAGCUUCCCCACGCCUUUUAAUUAUACUUAUAUAUAAUAAUAAUAAUUAUUAUUAUUAUUAUAUAAUUAUAAUUAUAAUAUAUAUUAUUUUUCGUUUUCAUUUUUUUCUGUAUUUUUUUUGUUUUUAUGCCUUUAUGGGUAUUUUUUUUGCUUCUUUCUUAGUUUUUUUUUUCUUUUAAUUUUUUUUUGUUUAAUUUAGUUUGUUAAUUGAUCCCGAGUUUGACGGGUUAACCUGGUUUGACGAGUUAACUAGACAUUUUAUUUAUUUUAUUUUUAAUUAAUUUUUUUCAUUUAGUUUAGUUUGUUAAUGUUAAAUUUCUUUCUAUUUAAUUAUUAGACUUUCAUGACACGUAUUUCAAGCUUGACAGGUUAACCUGUUAAUUUUUUUUUUCUAUUUAGUUAUUAAACUUUCAUGACGCAAAUCUAAGGUUUGACGGGUUAUCCUAGUUUGAAAGGUUAACCCAGUUAAUUCAGAUUUUUUUUUUCUUCAUUUGUUUUUUACUUCAUGUUGGUUUUUUUUUUCUUUUUAAUUAAUUUAUUUAAUUAUCACACUUUUAUGACACAACCUUGCAACCAGACCCACAUUUAAGGCUCUUGGGUUUGGUGUUACAACCAGACUCACUUAAACUUGAGUCAUGUAAGUUUAAUAUUAUUAUAAAUAUUACUCUUGGAUCAAGCGUUGUAGCUAGACCAAAGGCUCUUGGGUAUAUCUUUGCAGAAAGACAUAACACUCUUAGAUCUUAGCAUUUUUUGAUAUUUUUUAUGCAAUAAAAAAAAUAACCUGUGGUGUAUGCCUUUGUUUUGUUUUUUUUAUUUUUCUUUAAAGUUGAUGCCUUUAUUUAUUUUUUAUCUUUUUAUCUUUUUUUUUUUUUGUAAUUAUUCUUUUAAUUUAGUUUCUUAAUAUUAAAUUUUUUGUGUUUAAUUAUUAGACUUUCACGACACAGAUCCUAGGUUUGAUGGGUUAACCUAGUUGAUUCAGAUUGUUUUUCUUUUUCCUCAUUAGUUUUGUUUUUUCGAUUUUAUCUUUUAAUAUUGUAUGUAGUCCACGGUGAAAAGACUGAUGUCUUUAAUUAUUAUUUUUUGCUUUUUUUUUUCUUUUUAUGCCUUUCACUGUGGACUGCACAGUACAGUCCACGGUGAAAAUGUUGAUGCCUUCAUUUUUUUAAUUAACUUUUUUUUAUUUAGUUUGUUGAUAUUAAUUUUUUUUUCUAUUUAGUUAUCAGAAUUUCAUGAUACGAAUCUCAGGUUUGACGGGUAAACCCAGUUAAUUCAGAUUUUUUUUUUCAUGUUGGUUUUUUUUCUUUGUUUUUUUAUUUUUAAUUAAUCUAUUUAAGUAUUACACUUUUAUGACACAACUUUGCAGCUAGACUCAUAUCCAAGACUAUUGGGUUGUGUAUUGUAGCCAGACCGACUUAAACUUGGGUCUUUCAGGUUUAAUGUUAUUAUAAAUAUUACGUUUGGGCUAGGCGUUGCAGUCAAACCUAAGACUCUUAAAUAUAACUUUGUAAAAAAACCUAAUGCAUUUAGAUUUUAGUUUUUUUUUUAAUAUUUUUUAUGCAAAACAAUUGACCCGCGGCAUUGCGCGGGUCAUGUUUUUUCACUAUAGCUAAAGCUGUUUUUUUUUUGUUUUUUUUUUUCAUUUUUUCUUUUGUGGCAUUUUGUUUUUCGUUUUUGAUUUUUUUUCUGUAGCAGUUUUUCCUUCUUUUUUUUUGCUUUUGCUUUUGUUUUUUUUAAAUGUUUUUUUCACUGUAGCAACUUUGUUUUUUUUUCCUCGCUUUUGUUUCUUCUGUUUUUUACAUAUAAUGUAUCACUGUGCACACAGUGAAACACUUGACUUUUUUUUUGUUUUUAUUUUUCCUUUUUUCUUUGUGUUUUUUUUUUCUUUUAAUGAAUUUCUUUUGUUUAAUUUAGUUUGUUAAUAUGAAAAAAAAAUAAUUUAGUUAUCAUACUUUCAUUACACGGAUCUCAGUUUUUUUUCUAUAUUAAGCUGGUUGAGAACUUAGCUUUGUAGCUUUUUUCAAAAAGAAAAAAAAACACUAUGGAUUACUACAAUGUUUCUCUUGCAUGAUUUUUGUUUGGAUGCAGUGUUUCCCCUACAUGUUUAUUCAUUAUAAUUAUUAUUAUAUUGUAUUAUAUUAUAUGACUGUUUUUUUCUUUUGUUUUUUCUUUUUAAUGAAUUUUUUUUGUUUGAUUUAAUUAUUUAAUUUUUUUUUUAUUUAGUUAUCAUAUUUUCAUGAUACUAAUCUCGAGUUUGAUGGGUUAACCUGAUUUGACGAGUUAUUUUUUUCAUUUAGUUUAGUUUGUUAAAGUUAAUUUUCUUUCUAUUUAAUUAUCAUAUUUUCAUGACACAUAUCCUAGGCUUGACGGGUUAACUUAGUUUGAUGGGUUAACCCGGUUAAUUCUGGGUAAACCCAUUAUUUUUUUUUCUAUUUAGUUAUCAAACUUUCUUGACGCAAAUCCCAGGUUUUACGGGAUAACUUGGUUUAAAAGGUUAACCCAAUCAAUUCAAUUUCUUUUUCUUUUUAUUCAUUAGUUUUUUCCUUUCUGUUGAUUUUUUUUCUUUGUUUUUUUAAUUAAUCUACUUAAUUAUUAUACUUUUACGACACGACCUUAUAGCCAAACCCACAUCCAAUAUUCUUGGAUCUGGUGUUACAGUCAGGCUCACUUAAACUUGGGUCAUGUAAGUUUAAUUUUAUGAUUAAUAUUAUAAAUAUUACUUUUAAGUCAGGAGUUGCAACCAAACUCAAGAUUCUUGGGUAUAACUUUGCAGAAAAACCCAAGAUUUUUUAAUUUUUAUUUUUUAAAAUAUUUUUUAUAUAAAAACAAUGACCCGCGGUAUCGCGCAGGUAACAAAGCUAGUAUUUAUAUAUAUAUUUGCAAUUCGGCAUAUGCAAUCAAGAGUAGUUAUGACUAGCUAGUCCUGGUUAAUUUUUUAUACGUAAAAAAUAAAUGUUCAUCUAACUCAAAAUUUUGUUUUUAUCAUAAUAGCAACUUGAAAAGCUAAGAAAAAUAAUUAAAAACUCAUGAAGCAGGUAUCAUAUGUUUAUACUUAAUCAAUUAAUUUAAUUUAAUUUAAAAAUAAAAUUUAUUUUUUAAAAAAAGCUAAAUUCAACAAAGAUUAUAAAAAAAUUGACAUAACCUGUGUCAUUUUCAAAAUGACUAACAAAUCUCAUAGAAAGUGAGGAAAUAAAAGCAAAUAAAUAUUGGAGGAUGAAAAAAAAAAGAAUUUAAAAAGAGAAAAAAACCAAGCAAAUACGAAUGAACCUUUUAAACUUGAGUUAAUCUCUCAAACCUGCUAUUAAUUAAGUUUCAAUAAAAAAGCUCAACAUCUAACCAAUUUAAUGUUUAUGGAUAAAAUCAAUUAAUUUAGUUUAAUUAAAAAAACAAAAUUCCUUUUAAAAAAGCUAAAUUUAAAAAAGACAAAAAAAAAAAAAACCAAGGUAACUUGUGUUAUUUUCAAAACAACUGAAAAAUCUCAUAGUAAGUAAAAAAAAAAUAAAAAAAUUCUAGAAAAUAAAAUUAAAAGGAUAAAAAACCAAGCAAACCCAAGUGAACCUUGUAAACCCAGAUUAAUCUCUCAAACUUACAAUUUGUUAAAUUCUAGAUUCAGACUAAAUCAGAAAGCCAAAUACCCUACCAAUUAAAUAUUAAAAGUUGAAAUUGUUAAAAAAUUCUAGGUAAUAAAAUAACAAUAAAAAAUAAGAAAAAAAAUGAUACGAAAAAAGAAACUUAAGGCGAAUGAUAUUGUAAAAAAAUAUUUUUUAAAAUCAUUUUAAAUAAAACAAAUAGCAAUGAAAAUAAAAAAAAAUGAGAGAUAUAAAAAAUCCAUGCGGGAUGAAAUUGAAAAGAAUUUUAAAUUUCAUGAAUUAUUUUAUAUAAAACAAAUAGACAAACUAAAUUUUUUUUUAUAAAAAAAACAUAAUCAAAAGAGCUGUUUUGAAACUUUAAAGGUCUAUACGAAAAUAAAGAAGAGGUGGACGCACGUGCCAAACUGGAGGUAACUAAAUCAAAUGUGCCAUCAAAACAUGGAAAGGUCGUUGAAAUAUUUCAGUUGCCAGCCCAAAAAUAGGCUUUCGACCAUUAGAUGACACCAUACAUGUUGCUUGAAACUCGCAAUCGCUGUUAAAAUGUCUCAAGUUUUUUUUUCUUAAAUAUUUUUAUUAUCUAGCAAAUGAUCCUAUCACCCCUAAUGAAACCUAAUAAUUACAAAAUAAAUAAAUUUAAAAGAGAAAAAUGUGAGAAUUUUUUUGAUAUCAAGCUCUUCGGUGAUUUGCAGUGAGAAUUUUUGUUGAGAGGAAAAUUUGAAGGGCAAAUUGUGAAAAGCACUGAAACUUCGGGCACUUUUUUGGGUCUCAUAUGGGCUGGGCCCGAAUAUUUUUGGAAUACAAUCAUGGCCCUUAAUCAGAUCAAAUUACUUUACAAUCCGGAGGCGGAGGAGAGAUCCCAACUACCAUUUACGAGUUAAUUAUCAAUUAGUCCCUCUAAUUUAUAGUAAUUAUUGUAGUAUAAAAAUAAUUAAAUAAUCAUUUGAAUAUGUUUAUUUUUAGUAUUUUAUUUCAAAAAAAUAUCUUUUUGUCCUUCUGAUCGAUCUUUGUAUCUCAUUUAUUUUUUCUCUCUUUUAUAUUUCUAGAAUAAAUAAAAAGUAAUCGAAAAAAUAACAUGUAAUAACGAAAACAAUAAAAUAAUAAAUGGAUUUAAGAAUAUAAAGAUUAAAUGUAUAAUUUCUGAAAAUAUAAAGGCAAAUUAAUUAAUUAAGUUUACUAAACUACGAGGACUAAUUUAUAAUUAACUCGACUGUAUAACACAAGUUUUCAAAAAUACAAAGAUUAUUCAUAGCCUGUUCUCAAUCUCUCUCCAAAUGAUGGAGUCAAGCAAACAAGAAGUAGUCUUUGAGCUACCAGUGCGUCUCCGAGUUCACAAAGAUGGCCAUGUAGAGAGACCAAGACCCGAAGAUUUUAUCCGAUCCCAUUACAGGAGUUUCAUCGAAAGAUAUUGUAGUAGUCCCAGAAUCCAACAUCACUGCUCGCCUAUUCCUACCUAAAAUCACAGAUCCGAACGAAAACCUUGCCGUCAUUGUGUAUUUCCACGGAGGAGCCUUUGUUGUAAACACACCAUUCACUACUCGGUUCCAUAACUUGGUAACCAUCAUUGUUUCUGAAGCUAACGUUGUUGCUGUUUCUGUUGAUUAUAGGAAAGCUCCGGAGCACGAUGUCAUCGUACUGUUUCUGUUGAUUAUUCAAAACCAAGCUAACGUUGUUACUGAUUUUCAACGUGUUUUUUUGGGUGGUAGCAGCUCUGGUGUUGAUAUUGCUCACAAUCUGGCCAUGGUUGCUGGGAACCCGGAGCCGGGGCUUAGUAUUGGGCUUCUUAGGAUUGCUUUGGCACACCCUUAUUUUUGGGGGUCGGUGCCUUUUGGAUCGGCGAUUUAUCCAGAUGACAUGGUUUUAAGUAACCAGGGCUUCGUGCAGCAGGUUUGGUUUUGAAUUUUUGUAAUAAUUAUUUUUAAAUAUUUUUUAUUUAAAAAUAUAUAUUAAAAUUAUUUUUUUAUUUUAAAAAAAUUAUUUUUAACAUUAAAUUUCAAUAUAUAUAUAUAUAUAAUUUUUUGAAAAUAUUUUUAAAAUAUAAAAACAAAUUGGAUUUUGUUUGUCUAUCUUACCCGGAUAAUGAUGAUUCACAGCUAAGUUCAUUUGAUUGAAAGACAUUAGGGAAUGAAAUUUAUUUAUUGUAAAAUAUGAGAAUAAGAUUUUUUUUAAUUAAAGAUUUAAAAAAAAUUACAAGUAUCAUAAUAUCUACUAAUAAAAAAUUCAUAUUAUAGAAACAUGAUAUGUCAUUUUUUUUAAAAUUAAUAUGGAUGUUCAAAUCAAUUUAUGUAUAUUUUGAUUAAUUUUAUGGGUCCUAAAAUUAACGAAUAUAUAAAUUUUUAAUGUUGCUAGAAAUUAGUGAUGCUAAGUAAUAGAAAAAUAUGAAAAUGCAAUGUGCAAGGAAUUAAUUAUUGCAAAGAAUAUAUUUUGGAGUGGUUGAAAUUGAAAGUUUGAAUGUUUUGUUAAUGUAAUUAGGUGUAUUUUUUAUUUAAAAAUAUAUUAAAAUAAAUUUUUUAUAAUAUUAAAAAUAUUAAUUUUAUAUUUUUUAAGUAAAAUAUAAUUUUAAAAAAUAAAAUAAAAUAAAAACCACUGCAACCCACUGGAAGCAAAAUUAUGACUAUAGUACAAAGCUGGUUCGAGUUUAAUAGCAGCCGAACUUAAAGAUAUUGUGGUAGCUGUUGUAAUUGUGGUUUGGAAAAAAAUUAUUUUAUAAAAAAUAUUUUUAGUUGAAGUUCGUUUGGAAAAAUAUAUGUUUGGUUAAAAUUAAAGUUAAACAAAAAAUAGUUUAAUAUGUUUGGUUAAAAAAAUACUUUUCACAUUGAGGUUAUAAAUAUAAUUAAUAUAUAUAUAUAUAUAAUUAAUAUUGAUGGUUUUUAAUUUAAAUUUGUAGAUUUAACUACUGUUAUUACAUCAUGAAAUAAAUAAUAUUGAUAUCAAAUAUUUUUUAUUGUUCCAUUAAAUUAUGUGCAAUUUCAUAAUGUACAAAAUCUAUCCAAGAAGGACUAUAUUUUUCAUGGUUUUUUAAGCGCGUAACAUCAAGAACAAAAUUGAGGUUGCGAUCAAAUUUUACAAAUGCUACAUCAUCAACUAUUUUUUUUUUUUUUUUAAUAAAAUACAAUUAAAAAUUAAAAUUUUUUAAACUGAGUUGGAUCCUACAAGAACAAACAACUAUUACUUACAACCAACACACUAAAUUAUUGAGUUUGAAAAAAAAAUACAGCAGUUGCCGCAUAGCCAAACGCCCAUUAAAGCGGGCUGCCCUGUUCUUCUCGGUGCUCCUAUCUUCUCCAUUUUUUUAAUAUGUUUUUGAUAUCAAACUACUUGGUAAUUUGCAAUGAGAUAUUUUGUUGAGAGGAAUAAAGGGCACAACGUGAUAAGCACCGAAACUCAGGGCACUUCUUUUUAGGUCUCCUUUAAGCUGGGUACAAAAUAUAUUUGGAAAUAAAUAUUUUGAACUUUUAAAUAUUUGAAGGACCCAGGGGCUGGAAAAACAGUCAGGGGCCAGGGCCCUGGCAGCCCCUGUCUCCAUCACGGCUCAUGAGGUCGAGAAUAAAUCUCAACAACCAUAUAACGGUUAUUUAUUAUUAAAUGUCAGUAAAUAUAGUAAGUAUAGUUAUAGAUUUUUUUAAAAUAUAUUUUAUUUUAAAAGAUAUUAAAAUAAUAAUUUUUAUUUUUAAAAAAUUAUUUUUAAUAAUAGAACAUUGUUAAAAUAAUCUAAAAUUAUAAAAAAUAUAUAUUAAUUUAAAAUUAAAAAAAUAAAAUUAUUUCAAACUACUUUUAAAACACAAAAAUCAAAUUUACAGAAUUAUAAUCAACUCUACUGUAUAAAAAACGAUUUCAAGAAUACGAAGAACAACCAUAGCCUCCCUAUCAAAUUCUCAAUCACUCUCCAAAUUCCAUGGAGUCCAGCAAACAAGAAGUAGUCUUUGAGCUGCCAAUGACUCUCCGAGUUCACAAGGAUGGCCAUGUGGAAAGAUUAAUACCCACAGAUUUUACCCCACCUUCAACCGAUCCCAUUACCGGAGUUUCAUCGAAAGAUAUUGUAGUAGUCCCAGAAUCCAACAUCACUGCUCGCCUAUUCCUACCUAAAAUCACAGAUCCGAACAAAAAACUUGCUCUACUUGUUUAUUUCCACGGAGGAGCCUUUGUUAUCAACACGCCAUUCAUUACUCCGUUCCAUAAAUUUGUAACCCACCUUGUCUCCGAAGCCAAUGUUGUUGCUGUUGCCGUUGACUAUAGGAAAGCUCCGGAGCACCCUAUCCCAGCUGCAUACGAAGACUCAAUGGCUGCACUCAAAUGGGUCGCUUCCCAUUCUAAUGGAGAUGGACCUGAGCCUUGGUUAAAUAACCAUGCUCAUUUUCAACGUGUUUUUUUGGGUGGUGACAGUUCUGGUGCUAAUAUUGCUCACAAUUUGGCUAUGACUGCUGGGAAUCCUGAGACGGGGCUUGGCAUUGGGCUACUUGGGAUUGCUUUGGUACACCCUUAUUUUUGGGGGUCGGUGCCUGUUGGAUCGGAGGCGGAUUAUCCAGAUGACAAGUCUAUAAUUAAUCGAGACUACGUGGAUCGAGUUUGGCCAUUUAUUUGUCCAUCUAACCCGGAUAACGACGAUCCACGGGUUAAUCCGGUGGCAAAAGGUGCACCAAGCCUAGUGGGCCUGGGGUGUAAGAGGGUGCUGGUUUGCGUGGCCGAGCAUGAUGUGAUGAAAGAUAGAGGCUGACUUUAUUACGAGGCAUUGGGCAGAAGUGGAUGGAAGGGUGUGGUUGAGAUAUUUGAGACACAAGGAGAGCACCAUGGAUUCCAUUGUUAUGACCUGGAACAUGAGAAAUCUAAACAGUUGAUACAGAGACUGGCUGCUUUCUACAAGACUGAUUGAUGCGCCUCCGUUUCGAUAGAGGGAGGACUUCCUGUUCUUGCUCUUGUUAUUAUCUUUUUAAUUUUCGAUAUCGUCUCCUACUUAAUUUGUAUUCAGCAAAUCUCAUGUUGUUGCAGUUUCUGUUGAUUAUUAAUUAGUUUGCUCUAAGCGUGUUUCAUGUUGUAAUAAAUUCAUGUUAUUCGGUAAUCAAGUACUAUUAAUAUCUAAUAAAGUGAAGUUCGAGGGAAAAAAA
rnacentral:lncRNA from 1 species